rnacentral:tRNA from 1 species
GUCGCGUUGGUUUAGCGGUAGAGCGUUGGAUUCAUACUCCAUAAGUCAUCGGUUCGAACCCGAUACGCGGCGCCA